AUUGAACGCUGGCGGCAUGCCUUACACAUGCAAGUCGAACGGCAGCACAGGAGCAAUCCUGGUGGCGAGUGGCGAACGGGUGAGUAAAGUAUCGGAACGUGCCCUGUCGUGGGGGAUAACGUAGCGAAAGUUACGCUAAUACCGCAUACGAUCUAUGGAUGAAAGCGGGGGAUCGCAAGACCUCGCGCGAUUGGAGCGGCCGAUAUCAGAUUAGGUAGUUGGUGGGGUAAAGGCUCACCAAGCCGACGAUCUGUAGCUGGUCUGAGAGGACGGCCAGCCACACUGGGACUGAGACACGGCCCAGACGCCUACGGGAGGCAGCAGUGGGGAAUUUUGGACAAUGGGCGAAAGCCUGAUCCAGCCAUGCCGCGUGCAGGAUGAAGGCCUUCGGGUUGUAAACUGCUUUUGUACGGAACGAAAAGGUUUGACUUAAUACGUUGGACUCAUGACGGUACCGUAAGAAUAAGCACCGGCUAACUACGUGCCAGCCGCCGCCGUAA
rnacentral:rRNA from 1 species